UCAUCUUUAGUGUUAUCAAUAACAAAUAUAUUACAUAGUGAAAUAUUCAUGUAAGCUUUUGAUGAUGGUACAUACGACUAUCCUUACCAUGCCAUAAGAAAAUAAGUUUUAUCAACUAUAAAAUUUGAGUUGUAUAGUUGAUGGUCUAAGAAAACAAAUUAUACCAUUUUCUCGGUUCACUGUGCUUUUAUAAUUGCGUGUUUUAGUUAAUUUAUGAGUAUGGUUUAUAAAUAUCAAUAUAAUACAUUUUCGUAACACAGCAAUGAAACAUAGGUAUCGAUCAUAUAACCGGACAACCUUUAACAAUCACUCCUCUAGCGGUUGGACAUCUAGCUAGAUCACAAUGUUCACCUUGUGUACCCCACCAAUCCAAACUCUUAUCCUCCAUCCCUACCGAGAAGUACAACAAAACCGCCAUGAACGCUACACCAGCGUCCAUCGCAGCUGACAGCACGUAGUUAUACCUUUGCCACCAGCUUUUCCUGUACCGGAACA